AACUUUAUGCAGGGGCUUUACGUGUAUCAGUGAGGAUUCGUCCGAGAUCAUGUUUUUGCUAGUUGAAAACUUUAAACCUUGACAAACUCUUCGGUAUGUGGUUUCCAUCGAGUUGCUGAUACUGAAGGAA